rnacentral:tmRNA from 1 species
GGGGUCGUCUAGUUUCGACGAGUAUGUUUGAGUAAUAGUGGCAAGUCGUUUUGUACACGUCAAGUACUAAAAAAAUAAUAACUGGAAACAGAAUUAAAAACGCAGUAGCUGCACUUUUCUCUAGAAAUAGUGUAGCAUUUGCCUAAUUUAAUAUAGGUCUGCACUCUCUAAUCUAUGUUCCUGUCAUUUUUUAGAGGGUUCAUUUAACAGGAUAUACUGCUAUGAUGUCUAUAAGUAGUGAUGAAUUAUAUAGACUUACUAAUUAAUUUGGUUGUUAGUUUCUUUAUUUAUUAGGACAUUUAUAAACUAACUAAACUUGUAGAAGCUGUUAUGUUAAUGUAUUCGGACAUGGGUGCGAUUCCCAUCGGCUCCACCA